rnacentral:sRNA from 1 species
CAGAACAAUUCAAAAAUACCGAAUGACGGAAGUGGAGUUAACAAGCGUGGCGGACCCGAAAGUUCGUCGCCUAAGUCUUUCGUUUAGACAAAUGGACAGAACAUGGACUUUAAAAUUAAUUACUUAAUUUAACACAACAAGCGGCCGGCGACACCUUCCACGAUGAUGUUUCAGGCGACAACAACGGAAAGCACUAAACAUUCGUUCGACCCCAGGCCGAAACCUGUUGGCGAUCACUGUACAAUCACAGAGAGUCUGUGUAUCUCUGUGAGUAACUGUGAUCGGCGACGAUCCUGGGCUGGACGAGCGGGCUUAACAGAUUAGUUAGCAUAUCCCAUAUCAGGAACACUCUGCGAUAUGGCACGUCCCGGUCUUGAACUCCGCCGAGGAUGAGUUUCGAGUCAUUAAGUUUGUAGCCCUUGGAGAAGGGGGCUCUUGACAAUUUGCAUUAUGCUGGCGAUCGAUCAGUGAUCGGUGAAAUUUAACAGAUAAUGAACACCGGAUUGGGCACCCUCAGUAGGUGGGGGCAGGGGACUGCAGGGCGAAA